GGAUGCGAUCAUACCAGCACUAAAGCACCGGAUCCCAUCAGAACUCUGAAGUUAAGCGUGCUUGGGCGAGAGUAGUACUGGGAUGGGUGACCUCCUGGGAAGUCCUCGUGUUGCGUUCC
rnacentral:rRNA from 1 species